rnacentral:rRNA from 1 species
CGGACGGGUGAGUAACGCGUGAGGAACCUGCCUUUCAGUGGGGGACAACAGUUGGAAACGACUGCUAAUACCGCAUAACGUACGGGUAUCGCAUGGUAUCUGUACCAAAGAUUUAUCGCUGAGAGAUGGCCUCGCGUCUGAUUAGCUAGUUGGUAGGGUAACGGCCUACCAAGGCGACGAUCAGUAGCCGGCCUGAGAGGGUGGACGGCCACAUUGGGACUGAGACACGGCCCAGACUCCUACGGGAGGCAGCAG